rnacentral:rRNA from 1 species
AACGAACGCUGGCGGCAUGCCUAACACAUGCAAGUCGAACGAGACUUCGGUCUAGUGGCGGACGGGUGAGUAACGCGUAGGAACCUGCCAAGCAGUGGGGAAUAACAGCUGGAAACGGCUGCUAAUACCGCAUACGCCCGUUCGGGGGAAAGAUUUAUCGCUGUUUGAGGGUCCUGCGUUCGAUUAGCUAGUUGGUGAGGUAACGGCCCACCAAGGCGACGAUCGAUAGCUGGUCUGAGAGGAUGAUCAGCCACACUGGGACUGAGACACGGCCCAGACUCCUACGGGAGGCAGCAGGUGGGGAAUAUUGGACAAUGGGGGAAACCCUGAUCCAGCAAUGCCGCGUGCGUGAAGAAGGCCUUAGGGUUGUAAAGCGCUUUCACCUGUGAUGAUGAUGACAGUAGCAGGAGAAGAAGCCCCGGCUAACUCCGUGCCAGCAGCCGCGGUAAAGUCACAUG